AGCAGCCGCGGUAAUUCCAGCUCCAAUAGCAUAUAUUAAAGUUGUUGCAGUUAAAAAGCUCGUAGUUGAAUUUCGGGGUUAGUAGGUUGGUCGUGCCACUGGUACGUACUGGUCUCACUGAUUCCUCCUUCCUGAUGAACUGUAAUGCCAUUAAUUUGGUGUUGCAGGGAAACUGGACUGUUACUUUGAAAAAAUUAGAGUGUUUAAAGCAAGCUAACGCUUGAAUACAUUAGCAUGGAAUAAUGAAAUAGGACGUUCGAUCCUAUUUUGUUGGUUUCUAGGAUUGACGUAAUGAUUAAUAGGGAUAGUUGGGGGCAUUAGUAUUCAAUUGUCAGAGGUGAAAUUCUUGGAUUUAUUGAAGACUAACUACUGCGAAAGCAUUUGCCAAGGAUGUUUUCAUUAAUCAAGAACGAAAGUUAGGGGAUCGAAGACGAUCAGAUACCGUCGUAGUCUUAACCAUAAACUAUGCCGACUAGGGAUCGGAUGAUGUUAAUUUUUUAAUGACUCAUUCGGCGCCUUA
rnacentral:rRNA from 1 species